CUGUACAUGUGGUCUCUCUCUCUCUCUCUCUCUCUCUCUCUCUCUCUGUGUGUGUGUGUGUGAGAGAGAGAGAGAGAGAAAGACCUCUGUGUGUGUGUGUGUGUGUGUGUGAGAGAGAGAGAGAGAGAGAGAGAGAGAGAGAGAGACAGACAGACAGA